rnacentral:lncRNA from 1 species
UACAAAAGAAACAUGAAGAAAUCUUAAAGAAAUUCAAAAGAAGUAUUAGAAUAAAAUCUUAAAUUUAUCUUAAAUAAAUUCCAAUUAAGUCUUAAUUUAAUCCUAGUUAAAAUUCUAGUAGUCCUUACUUAGAUCCUAAGUCAAAUCCUAAUUAAACCUGAAUUAAAUCCUAAACAAAUUCUAAAUCCUAACCAAUUUUGAAACUCUAAAUCAAAUCCAAAUAAAAUUAAUCUAAAUCUAGGAUAAUUUAAAAUCUCAAUAUCUAUUAAUUAUACCAUUUAUCUUACUUAAGAUUUUAUACACCUCUUAAAAAAUAAGAUGGAAUCAAGUACAUAAAAU